rnacentral:misc_RNA from 1 species
CAAAGAAUGAAAUAGAAAGCAAUCGGAGAUGAAAAGAAAGCAUGGAAACUGUGCUCAGUUCAAAUGGAUAGAGUUAUAAACCCACGGCAUAGACUUUGAGAUUUUUUUUGUCUUGCACAGACGCAGCUCUCUUACUCCUAUCAUUCCUUCGUUUGUCUCGUAAGUCUAUGAUUGUCUUUGCAGGCACCUACUAUGUUAAACAGUUGCUUUGCCCACUGCUAUCAUAAACACUUCCCAAGGUGGACAGAACAGAUUCCAUUCUGAGACACCUGUCCAAUGCUCUCAGCUUCAGAAUUCAAACAAUACAAGAUAUAACCAAUUAAUGCGAAAUCAAUCUUGAAUCAAUAAAAUAUGAACAAAAACAGGAUUAUUCCUAGCCUUGGCAUUUAUCUAUUUAUUACAUAAUUAUCAUCAGAGCCCCAUCGAAGAUACCCCCACCACAGUCUCGUUAAACACUUGCGUGCAUUUUACUGUCAUCCAAAACAAGACACUAGCACUUUUAUUUCAGGGAACCCAGAACUUGUUGUAAUACAAUAAAGAAACUAUAGGGCAGAUACCCCCAUUAAAGCCUUGUUGGCAUAAACUCGAUCAUUUCCUGAUAAAAGAAACCCCCUUCUGAAUGCUUGCUGCCAACUCUUUCUUCGCUUUCUCCAAGCCAGCCCUUUCAUACUCGUUGAGGGGGCCAAGUGGACAAAUUUCUUCAAUCCCAGCACGGCCAAGUCGAACUUUGGUUGCAAAGAAAGGAAGUUCGGUUACCUAUAAAGGCUACAUGUCAGUAUAUAUGCUGCCCGAAAAAGCAAAAUAAAUAAAUGUAGAAAAAAGAUUUUGGGCAAACAGAAAUUGAUAACAUACGGCAGAAGCCACGUACGCGCAUUGGACAACACUAGCAUCUCCCCUCAAGCCCCGAAGGCAUGCAUCUGCAAAUUUA